rnacentral:rRNA from 1 species
GACGAACGCUGGCGGCGUGCUUAACACAUGCAAGUCGAACGGAAAGGCCCUGCUUUUGUGGGGUGCUCGAGUGGCGAACGGGUGAGUAACACUUGAGUAACCUGCCCUUGACUUUGGGAUAACUUCAGGAAACUGGGGCUAAUACCGGAUAGGAGCUCCUGCUGCAUGGUGGGUGUUGGAAAGUUUCGGCGGUUGGGGAUGGACUCGCGGCUUAUCAGCUUGUUGGUGGGGUAGUGGCUUACCAAGGCUUUGACGGGUAGCCGGCCUGAGAGGGUGACCGGCCACAUUGGGACUGAGAUACGGCCCAGACUCCUACGGGAGGCAGCAGUGGGGAAUAUUGCACAAUGGGCGGAAGCCUGAUGCAGCAACGCCGCGUGCGGGAUGACGGCCUUCGGGUUGUAAACCGCUUUCGCCUGUGACGAAGCGUGAGUGACGGUAAUGGGUAAAGAAGCACCGGCUAACUACGUG